rnacentral:misc_RNA from 1 species
UAAUCUCACUACAACCGCUUUUUUGUGGUUGCAUGUGGACUUGGAUGUUGCCGUGUCACAAACGGCUCGUCUGAAAUGCCUGAGUGUACCCCUGCUUUGCGGCGUAUUCGGUGUGAUAAAUCUUCACCGGAGUUGACCCUCAGGGUCACGUCUGCUUGACAUGGCUCUAUGCUUCCAAUCGUCCUAACAAGACAAUCUUUGACA